CUCUCAAAGAUAAAUGCAUGUCUGUGCCACAAGAGGGUGCAAGGACCUUACAGGUCUUGAAGUGAGGCCAGGAUUAAAAACCCAAUUUUUGGUCGAUCUGGCAUCUACGGCGCGAAGGGUCCAUGCGGCGCCAGAGAUUAUGAUGUAGUUGCAGUGAACGUUGGCUGUACAGAAGAUCCGUGCCUAACUCCAUGCACCUCCCAAAAUUGUGCAGCUCUGGAGUGUCAGAAACUGCAGAGUUGUGCCAGGAAUUCACCCUGACAAAAACGGACACCCAAAACAUCUCAUCGAAUGGCUUGUGACAGUCCUCUGCAGCAGUUACCUCCACUGGUACCUUCACAAAGAGGGAGAGACUUUGAGGAGGAUGCUGUACAUGGCAACUGCUGAUGAGAGAACACAGGAGAUAAGACACCAAAAUAAACAAUGGAUGAGUGACCCUGGCGUUGAGGAAGUCACAGCAGAGAAAUUAGAGAAGGACCUAUUCAUUUUCUGAUUCAGUUGGCUCAAGGCUGUUUCUGUACUGAAGUCAGCCUACCUGUCUCAUAGACUCUGACCAGCAACUCCUUAUUAUUGUGGUUAGAAAUCACAUUUGAU